GUGACCUCAGAUCAGGCGAGACCACCCGCUGAGUUUAAGCAUAUCACUAAGCGGAGGAAAAGAAACUAACAAGGAUUCCCU
rnacentral:rRNA from 1 species